rnacentral:rRNA from 1 species
GUCCACGCUGUAAACGAUGGGCACUAGGUGUCGCGGGUAUUGACCCCUGCGGUGCCGCAGCUAACGCAUUAAGUGCCCCGCCUGGGGACUACGGCCGCAAGGUUAAACUCAAAGGAAUUGACGGGGCCCGCACAAGCGGUGGAGCAUGUGGUUCAAUUCGACGCAACGCGAAGAACCUUACCCGGGCUAGACAACAGAGGACAACUUUAGAAAUAAAGUCUUCCCUUCGGGGACCUCUGGUUCAGGUGCUGCAUGGCUGUCGU